rnacentral:rRNA from 1 species
AUUGAACGCUGGCGGCAGGCCUAACACAUGCAAGUCGAACGGUAACAGGAAGAAGCUUGCUUCUUUGCUGACGAGUGGCGGACGGGUGAGUAAUGUCUGGGAAACUGCCUGAUGGAGGGGGAUAACUACUGGAAACGGUAGCUAAUACCGCAUAACGUCGCAAGACCAAAGAGGGGGACCUUCGGGCCUCUUGCCAUCGGAUGUGCCCAGAUGGGAUUAGCUAGUAGGUGGGGUAACGGCUCACCUAGGCGACGAUCCCUAGCUGGUCUGAGAGGAUGACCAGCCACACUGGAACUGAGACACGGUCCAGACUCCUACGGGAGGCAGCAGUGGGGAAUAUUGCACAAUGGGCGCAAGCCUGAUGCAGCCAUGCCGCGUGUAUGAAGAAGGCCUUCGGGUUGUAAAGUACUUUCAGCGGGGAGGAAGGGAGUAAAGUUAAUACCUUUACUCAUUGACGUUACCCGCAGAAGAAGCACCGGCUAACUCCAUG